rnacentral:rRNA from 1 species
UACGAAGGGGGCUAGCGUUGUUCGGAAUUACUGGGCGUAAAGGGUGCGUAGGCGGCGCCGUAAGUCAGGCGUGAAAUUUCGAGGCUUAACCUCGAGACUGCAUUUGAUACUGCGGUGCUUGAGGACUGGAGAGGAGACUGGAAUUCAUGGUGUAGCAGUGAAAUGCGUAGAGAUCAUGAGGAAGACCAGUGGCGAAGGCGGGUCUCUGGACAGUUCCUGACGCUGAGGCACGAAGGCCAGGGGAGCAAACGGG